CCUGGUGGUUAUGGCAAGGGGCAAACACCCGAUCCCAUCCCGAACUCGGCCGUGAAAACCCUUAGCGCCGAUGGUACUCCGUCUCAAGACGUGGGAGAGUAGGUCGCUGCCAGGU
rfam:Oceanibaculum pacificum strain MCCC 1A02656 contig178, whole genome shotgun sequence.